UAUGUUUUAUAUUAAUCUAGUACUUUUAAAAAGGAAGAGUUUGACCUUUUGGGAAAUCCUUAUUCAAUCUCUUCCCGAGAGUUAGACGAGAAGAUCAAC